AUCACCAGAGGAUCUUGUUAAAAUGCAAAUUCUAAUUCAGGCUCUCCCAUUCGGGACCUGAGAUUUUGCAUUUAUAACAAGCUCUCAGAUGAGUCUAA
rnacentral:pre_miRNA from 1 species